GGGGCCAUAGUGGCAGAAGCAGGUUUCAUAGAGGGUGGUGGUGCGGGAGGUGGUGCAGGAGGACUGGCUCUAAUUGGGGCAGGAGGUGGUGGUGGUGGAGGAGAACUAGCUCUAAUCGGGGCAGGAGGUUCUGGAGGAAGAGUAGACUUCAAAGGAGGUAAUCCAGGUUGGGAAGCGCCGACCCUUCCUGGAGGCAAUGGUAGCGGUGGAAUAGUAUCAAAAGAUUCAACUGAGGCUUUAUUGGCAGCACCGACAGCUCCGAACGAUGACUUCCC
rnacentral:lncRNA from 1 species